CCUACGGGUGGCUGCAGUGAGGAAUAUUGGUCAAUGGCCGUAAGGCUGAACCAGCCAAGUCGCGUGAAGGAUGACGGACCUAUGGUUUGUAAACUUCUUUUAUAGGGGAAUAAAGGUAUCCACGUGUGGAUAUUUGCAUGUACCCUAUGAAUAAGCAUCGGCUAACUCCGUGCCAGCAGCCGCGGUAAUACGGAGGAUGCGAGCGUUAUCCGGAUUUAUUGGGUUUAAAGGGUGCGUAGGUUGUUUUUUAAGUCAGCGGUGAAAGUUUGCGGCUCAACCGUAAAAUUGCAGUUGAUACUGGCAUCCUUGAGUACAGUAGAGGUAGGCGGAAUUCGUGGUGUAGCGGUGAAAUGCUUAGAUAUCACGAAGAACUCCGAUUGCGAAGGCAGCCUGCUGGACUGUAACUGACGCUGAUGCUCGAAAGUGUGGGUAUCAAACAGGAUUAGAUACCCUUGUAGUC
rnacentral:rRNA from 1 species